rnacentral:rRNA from 1 species
UACAGAGGGGGCAAGCGUUAUUCGGAAUUAUUGGGCGUAAAGGGCGCGUAGGCGGCUAUUCAAGUGGCGGGUGAAAUCCCUCGGCUUAACCGAGGAACUGCCUGCCAGACUGGAUGGCUUGAGACCGGGAGAGGUGAGUGGAAUUCCCAGUGUAGUGGUGAAAUGCGUAGAUAUUGGGAGGAACACCAGUGGCGAAGGCGGCUCACUGGACCGGUACUGACGCUGAGGCGCGAAAGCGUGGGGAGCAAACAGG